rnacentral:rRNA from 1 species
CCUACGGGUGGCAGCAGUGAGGAAUAUUGGUCAAUGGCCGUAAGGCUGAACCAGCCAAGUAGCGUGAGGGAAGACUGCCCUAUGGGUUGUAAACCUCUUUUAUGCGGGGAUAAAGGUGGCCACGUGUGGAUGUUUGCAGGUACUGCAUGAAUAAGGAACGGCUAAUUCCGUGCCAGCAGCCGCGGUAAUACGGAAGGUCCGGGCGUUAUCCGGAUUUAUUGGGUUUAAAGGGAGCGUAGGCGGGUCUUUAAGCUUGCCGUGAAAGUUUGUGGCUCAACCCUGAAAGUGCGGCGGAGACUGGCGACCUUGAGUGCGCGUGAGGUAGGCGGAAUUCGUGGUGUAGCGGUGAAAUGCUUAGAUAUCACGAAGAACCCCGAUUGCGAAGGCAGCUUACUGCAGUGUUACUGACGCUGAUGCUCGAAAGCGUGGGUAUCGAACAGGAUUAGAUACCCCUGUAGUC